GUCCCGUUAGCUCAGUUGGUAGAGCACUUGACUUUUAAUCAAGGUGUCAAAGGUUCGAGUCCUUUACGGGACACCA
rnacentral:tRNA from 3 species